GUUUUUAUAGUUUAAAUUAAAACAUUGGUCUUGUAAAUCAAAAUUAUGAUAAAAUUCUUUAAAAACU
rnacentral:tRNA from 3 species